GGAGAGAUGGCUCAGUGGUUAAGAGCACUGACUGUUCUUCCAGAGGUCCUGAGUUCAAUUCUCAGCAACCAUA
rnacentral:tRNA from 1 species